rnacentral:rRNA from 1 species
UGCCAGCAUCCUCGGUAAUACUAAGGGGGCGAUCGUUGUUCGGAAUUACUGGGCGUAAAGGGCGCGUAGGCGGUCUUUUAAGUUAGGCGUGAAAGCCCAGGGCUCAACCCUGGAACUGCAUUCGAAACCGGUAGACUUGAGUUCGAGAGAGGGUGGUGGAAUUCCUGGUGUAGAGGUGAAAUUCGUUGAUAUCAGGAGGAACACCGGUGGCGAAGGCGACCACCUGGCUCGAUACUGACGCUCAUGUGCGAAAGCGUGGGGAGCAAACAGGAUUAGAUA